rnacentral:rRNA from 1 species
ACGGUAACAGGUCUUCGGAUGCUGACGAGUGGCGAACGGGUGAGUAAUACAUCGGAACGUGCCCGAUCGUGGGGGAUAACGAAGCGAAAGCUUUGCUAAUACCGCAUACGAUCUACGGAUGAAAGCAGGGGACCGCAAGGCCUUGCGCGAACGGAGCGGCCGAUGGCAGAUUAGGUAGUUGGUGGGAUAAAAGCUUACCAAGCCGACGAUCUGUAGCUGGUCUGAGAGGACGACCAGCCACACUGGGACUGAGACACGGCCCAGACUCCUACGGGAGGCAGCAGUGGGGAAUUUUGGACAAUGGGCGAGAGCCUGAUCCAGCCAUGCCGCGUGCAGGAUGAAGGCCUUCGGGUUGUAAACUGCUUUUGUACGGAACGAAAAGACUCUGGUUAAUACCUGGGGUCCAUGACGGUACCGUAAGAAUAAGCACCGGCUAACUACGUGCCAGCAGCCGCGGUAAUACGUAGGGUGCAAGCGUUAAUCGGAAUUACUGGGCGUAAAGCGUGCGCAGGCGGUUAUAUAAGACAGAUGUGAAAUCCCCGGGCUCAACCUGGGAACUGCAUUUGUGACUGUAUAGCUAGAGUACGGCAGAGGGGGAUGGAAUUCCGCGUGUAGCAGUGAAAUGCGUAGAUAUGCGGAGGAACACCGAUGGCGAAGGCAAUCCCCUGGGCCUGUACUGACGCUCAUGCAC